rnacentral:rRNA from 1 species
UGGAAGUAAAAGUUCGUAACAAGGUCUCCGUUGGUGAACCAGCGGAGGGAUCAUUACCGAGUUUACAACUCCCAAACCCAAUGUGAACGUUACCAAACUGUUGCCUCGGCGGGAUCUCUGCCCCGGGUGCGUCGCAGCCCCGGACCAAGGCGCCCGCCGGAGGACCAACCAAAACUCUUUUUGUAUACCCCCUCGCGGGUUUUUUAUAAUCUGAGCCUUCUCGGCGCCUCUCGUAGGCGUUUCGAAAAUGAAUCAAAACUUUCAACAACGGAUCUCUUGGUUCUGGCAUCGAUGAAGAACGCAGCGAAAUGCGAUAAGUAAUGUGAAUUGCAGAAUUCAGUGAAUCAUCGAAUCUUUGAACGCACAUUGCGCCCGCCAGUAUUCUGGCGGGCAUGCCUGUCCGAGCGUCAUUUCAACCCUCGAACCCCUCCGGGGGGUCGGCGUUGGGGAUCGGCCCUGCCUCUUGGCGGUGGCCGUCUCCGAAAUACAGUGGCGGUCUCGCCGCAGCCUCUCCUGCGCAGUAGUUUGCACACUCGCAUCGGGAGCGCGGCGCGUCCACAGCCGUUAAACACCCAACUUCUGAAAUGUUGACCUCGGAUCAGGUAGGAAUACCCGCUGAACUUAAGCAUAUCAAUAAGCGGAGGA